UUUCAUUUUCUGAAUUUUUUUUUAUAAUAUUUCAGGUCAGUUGAAGCCAUAUCCAUAUCCAUACAAUUUUGGCCACAAACUUUGGCAGUUUCCAUGGAAAUUUCAUUUCACUAAUAGCAAAGCAUUUCGUGUGUUAUUUUAUGGAGUAGCUUUCAUGGCACCUGUGUUUUACAGAGUACAGAUUUCAUUGAGAUCAAAAGGUAACAAGGAACUAUGGGCAGAGAGGAGAAAAGGUUAUGAACACACAUACUUUGAUCCACCAGUACCUCCAGUAUUUAAACCUAGAUCAGAGUGAAAAAAUGGAACAGUUGAUAAAAACUUUCUUCAAUUUUUGAUUUUACAUGUAAUAUGUGAAAUGAAUGUUCAGAAAACAGAAUAAAUUUAACAUUCAAACAAGUUUAUUAAUAAAGUUUUAUAUGUAUUGAA